UACGGAGGGUGCGAGCGUUAAUCGGAAUUACUGGGCGUAAAGCGCACGCAGGCGGUUUGUUAAGCUAGAUGUGAAAGCCCCGGGCUCAACCUGGGAUGGUCGUUUAGAACUGGCAGACUAGAGUCUUGGAGAGGGGAGUGGAAUUCCAGGUGUAGCGGUGAAAUGCGUAGAUAUCUGGAGGAACAUCAGUGGCGAAGGCGACUCCCUGGCCAAAGACUGACGCUCAUGUGCGAAAGUGUGGGUAGCGAACAGG
rnacentral:rRNA from 1 species